ensembl:lincRNA F730035M05Rik RIKEN cDNA F730035M05 gene
CUCGGUGUGGAAGGAGGCCUCGGCUGGCUCGCUUGUUGAGUUCCCAGUAAAGCCAUUGCCUCUUCUCAGUGGGUUCCACGGUUGCUUCCCAGGGUGACAUUGUAGGGUCAGUGUGAUUUAACCCUGAUUGCCCCGGUCUUGCUUCCCAGUUUUUAGGCAUAGUACUAUCCUGGGUUCUAAGGGGGCCUUGGUUGGUUGGUUUAUUUAUUUUUUUUCUGAGGACGCAGGACUGGGGUUUCUUGACUCCUAGGCCCAGGCUGGACUAACCCACAGUAGUUGGCCACAGUUGGUGUAAAAGUCAAGGGGUCUGUUGAGAAAGCUUUAGUCUCAGUGGGGGACAAGACUUCGUUCGAUUUGAGACCCCUUGUUUGCACUGCUCUUUGACCAAAUGAGGCAUAAGGAUAAGAGGGCGUGGGGGAAGGGGAGGGAGGGAGAAGGAGAGAGCACUCCAGGAACCAGUUGUCCCGUGUUCAGGAGACAUACUGGUGUGUGAUCUUUAUACCAGAUCCGAAUGUGAUGGUGUUUAAACUUUGGAAAGAUUGGCCUUUUGACCUGCUUUUAAUCAGUUCUGAAGCCAAGGGAACUGGCCCAAAGUGGCCUCACAUAUGGGUCACAUGGCCUGUGGAGAAGGACAAUGUCAUAUUAGAGCGGCUCUUUAUGCUCAGAGAGCAGAAGAGCUAUGCUUGCAGGAGUGUGUGUGUGUGUGUGUGUGUGUGUGUGUGUGUGUGUUUAUUUUCUGUAAGGAAGUCAUGAGCUUCCCAGGUUGGAAUUGCAAGUUAAUCUGUGGAGCCCAGCAUCUGGAGAGGACGGGGCAUAAGAUCCUCACCCUAGUUGCCUGGAAGUCAAUCUUCCACUAGCAGCCUUUGAAUGAAGACAUAGAACUCUCAGCUCUGCCUGCGCCAUGCCUGCCUGGAUACUGCCAUUCUCCCACCUUGAAGANNNNNNNNNNNNNNNNNNNNNNNNNNNGAACCUCUGAACCUGACCUUUGUGAAAGCAAACUGCCCCUGGAACCCACACCUUGACUUGAUCUUUGCACUCAAUCAAUUGCACACAGGAGACUCCUGGCUAGUGAUGGAGCUCAGUGAUCGAGCAUGUGCCUAGCAUGUGCAAGCCUGGUGAUGGAGCUCAGUGAUCGAGCAUGUGCCAAGCAUGUGCGAGCCUGGAGAUCCACCCCUCGACACAAGGAAGAAACCAAAACAACAACAAUUAGAAUCAAGAAGCAGAGAGACUCCCUAAGACCCAGUAUUGCUCCAUGGAGGAAGCAAAUCUAAAGACUUGAAAAGCCCAGAUUCAUAAAAGCCAAGUAUUUUAAUC